rnacentral:misc_RNA from 1 species
GUCUAUUAGAAUGAUGGGAGUGUCUGAAGAUGAGGUUGAUAAAGUUCUACAAAAUGCAAAAAUGGACUUUAGAAUUGCUGGAUUUGAUGAAGAGGAAAAAAGAAUGAGGCAGCGAUUGUCAGAUAAAACCCAUGCUUUGCUUAAACUACCCCAAGGACCUUAUACCUUUAGUGAUUUUCGGACACUUGAAAUUCCUGGGAUAGAGGUGCAUUUGAGUUGCUGAUUAUCUUCUUUUUUCUUUGAUAUUUCAUAGUUGGAGGGCACAUUUGAAUUUCGUACCUCCGCUUUACAAGAUAGUGUCAAUACUAACUAGCCUAAUUUCUUUUUACCUUACAUGUUGGAAAUAACAUGAAAUUGUGAUUGUGAAGUUUGUGUAGAUCAGAUGCCACAUUGGUAAAAGAUUACAUGUUUGGAGCUGAGAAAGAUGAAAAGGGAUCCUUUUUGAAUACUUGAGGAUAUUGCUAUACAUAGAAUUUCAUUAAAAUUAUAACUGUAAUUAUAAUAACAAGGCAACUUACUUGAGAGGUGAUAUUUUUCUGUUGAGGUGAAUGGUUUUCCUCUUUCUUUUGCCAUGGAUUUAUCAAUUUAGUUUGCAUCCAGGUGGUUGAUAAAAGUAGUUGGUAUCUAGUUUAGGGCUUGUUAAUUUUUUCCCCUUAAUGAGGCAGGGUAAUCACUUAAAGUCAUCUAUCUUUGUAGUUCUGGAGACAAGAAUUGCACAGUAGAGCUUGUGUAUGUAAAUUACAUCCAAUUCAGUGAUACAACACCAUUGGAAUCAAGCAUUGUUGUGCUCAAAUCAUGAUUAAAAUAAGUGAUAAGAUCGACAAUCCCCUCAAUAAAAUUGUACAAAUAGUAUUAGGCUUAAAUAUUUUAUAGCAACAUAGGUGUUUUAGGAAAAUGGUUAGGAACAGAAUAAUUUUUAAUUUUGGAUGUCCUUGUUGGCUAUAUCUUAACAUUUUAUUUUGUGUCUUUGUGCAUGUGCACUUUAUUUGGACGUCAUAUGUUACCCUGGAUUUUACUGCUCUACAGCUGAACCCUCCAGCUUCUGAGGCAUUGAAAAGGAUGCAUAUGCUUGCUGCUGAUCCUGGAAUUGUUGCGAUAAUGAAAAAGCACCAUUGGCAUGUUGGAAUUAUGACCGAGUUGGCCCCUGUUGGUUAUGUCGGUGUGACUCCUAAGUGUAUUCUUGGAUUCAAUAAGAAUCAUGGAGAAGAGAUAUCUCUGCGUCUUCGAACUGAUGACCUCAAGGGUUUCAGGAAAUAUGAAAGCAUCAAGAAAACACUUUUGCAUGAACUGGCUCACAUGGUAUACUCAGAACAUGAUGCAAACUUCUAUGCUCUGGAUAAACAGUUGAAUCAAGAAGCUGCUAGUUUAGAUUGGACAAAAUCAACAGGACACACCUUGAAUGGAUUUAGGCAUCCGGACCAUUAUGAAGAAGAAUUUCAUUCUUCAGACAAUAGAAACUUCUCUCAGAAGCUUGGGGGAAAUGUUUCAGAUCAUCUGGCUAGUGCACGUUCAUCUUCAGUGGCUGCUGCUUACCGCCGUUUAGCAAAUGCUUCUGCCAACAGUUUGGAAGUUCAUGGAGAGUAUAAAGAACCUGACCCUGAUGAUUCCAGGUUCAGCAUAAAUGAUAGACUUGACAUUAUGGAUUAUGUAGGAGAGGACAAUAAAGACAUUGAAAACGCACACAAGGUUCAGCUGAAACCUGAUUAUGAGCCAGAUCCUGAUGAACCUGCUUGUGACCACAGUAAGUAUGAACCUGAUCCUGAUGAUUCUCAGAGUAAUCACCCUCAGCCGAUGGAGACUCUGAACAGUGGGAUUCAGCUUAGCAAGACCAUUGAUGAACCAGAUCCAGAUGACUCAGAAACAAAACAGAGCAAUUCAAGGGACAGAAACAUCCAGGGACCAGAUUUGAACAAUUCUAUAGUGACUGAAAGCAUGGAAGAUCAAACCUGUCUAAAUAAGGCUUAUAGAGAACCUGAUCCUGAUGAAUCUCAAGCAAACAUAACUGUGUGGACAGAGCCUGAUCCUGAUGAUGAUUUAGUGACGUCACAGAAAAUAUCCAGUAUGAAAAUUGAUGAGCCAGAUCCCGAUGAAGAGUUACAGAGAAUCCAAGAUCCUGUUACUGUUGUUUGUGGUAGGCUGCAGAAGGCUGUUGAGAGGCUGAGAGCUGAAGUUAAUCCCACAGAAGCAACUGGCAUCUUGCAAAUUCUUUUCAAAAUAAUUAGGUAAACAUGGUAACUUGAUUUUCUUUGGUUGAUUCCCUUAUCAGGAUCUUAAGUAUUAUUUCUCACACUUUAUCCUACCCUAUUAUACCUAAGCUUAGUACUUGGGAUGAUGCUUUUACUUUUAUUUUUUCCCCUCUAAAAUUCUAACUUCCAGUGUUUGGUUAUUGAUAAAAUCUGGAAUUACUUCUAAUUUCUGGCAGGAAUGUGAUUGAACACCCAAAUGAAAUGAAAUUUAAGAAGCUCCGCAAGGUACACAUAAGGAAUUUUUGUUAUGAUUUCUGAAAUGUUCAUUUCAGUUCCUCUUACGUCUGAUUUCUGGAAAGUUUACUUUCAGUUCCCUUAAUUUCUCAAUUGCUAAUGGAUGAUACACAUUGCAGGCUAAUCCCAUAAUCCAGAAGAAUGUUGCCAAUCAUAAAGCUGCAAUGGAAAUACUACAAACGGUUGGAUUUAUUGAAGAUGUUGUCUUUGAUGAAACUGGGAAAGCAGAAUCUUGUUUAGUGUUGAAGCGGAAUGAUCCAGGCCUGUUGUGGCUUGCAAAAUCAUCCCUUGAGGCUUGUGUAACCGGCUAGUCCUGGAGGUAUCAACAUACUGAAAAUGCGUUUGAAACUGUAAAAAACUGUAAAGAUGUGCCAUAUGCAAGUUGUAUACCGCAUGUACUUGAUGAAAAACAUACAUGCAUGAUUGUACUUUGGGUGGAGCAAGAACACUAAUUGUAAUUAAAUUGAAGUUUUGGACAAUUUGAGUUUUAGAAUUGUUUGAUGAUGCUAGGGGGAACAUUGUACAACAAAACAGUGGCAGGGUUGAUGGUGGCAUAAGGUUCCUCUGACAUAAGCUCCUAAUAUUUGCUUCUCCACAGUGCACUGCUGGCUUAUUUUACAACCUACCUGUCAAUGAAUUUUAUUGGGUUAAUAUUUAGUGUCUUCCAAUUUUGAGGAUUGUUUUAUUUUUAUUUUAAUUCAGUGGGAGGGCUAAAAGUUCACAUAGUGCGUCUG